rnacentral:tRNA from 1 species
AGCCAGAUUGCUCAGUUGGUAGUGCAUCUGACUAGAGAUUCAGGUGGCCCGGGUUCAAAUAACGGUCUGGUUC